rnacentral:rRNA from 1 species
UACGGAGGGUGCAAGCGUUGUCCGGAAUCACUGGGCGUAAAGGGCGCGUAGGCGGCCUGGUAAGUAGGGGGUGAAAUCCUGCGGCUUAACCGCAGGGCUGCCUUCUAAACUGUCAGGCUUGAGCACGGUAGAGGCAGAUGGAAUUCCUGGUGUAGCGGUGGAAUGCGCAGAUAUCAGGAGGAACACCGGUGGCGAAGGCGGGUCUCUGGGCAGUAACUGACGCUGAGGAGCGAAAGCGUGGGGAGCGAACAGG